rnacentral:rRNA from 1 species
GACGAACGCUGGCGGCGUGCUUAACACAUGCAAGUCGAACGGAAAGGCCCUGCUUUUGCGGGGUGCUCGAGUGGCGAACGGGUGAGUAACACGUGAGUAACCUGCCCUUGACUUUGGGAUAACUUCAGGAAACUGGGGCUCAUACCGGAUAGGAGCUCCUGCUGCAUGGUGGGGGUUGGAAAGUUUCGGCGGUUGGGGAUGGACUCGCGGCUUAUCAGCUUGUUGGUGGGGUAGUGGCUUACCAAGGCUUUGACGGGUAGCCGGCCUGCGAAGGUGACCGGCCACAUUGGGACUAAGAGACGGACCAGACUCCUACGGGAGGCAGCAGUGGGGAAUAUUGCGCAAUGGGCGGAAGCCUGAUGCAGCAACGCCGCGUGCGGGAUGACGGCCUUCGGGUUGUAAACCGCUUUCGCCUGUGACGAAGCGGGAGUGACGGUAAUGGGUAAAGAAGCACCGGCUAACUACGUG